AAGUAAGCAAUGCACUUCAUUUGAUUCUAAAGAAAAUCUUGUUUAACAUCUUUGAAAUCUUUCAAAAUGAUAAUAAUCUCUCAUUCUGAUAAAUCCUGUCCCUGAAAAAGAAAUGAAAAAUUGUCAUCUAAACAAACCCAUUCUGUCAAACUUCAGUGUGGUGGCGGACACUUGUGUUGCAGUGGAUGACUGGCUCCAAAACCCCACAGCUAAUGCAUCACUGAGCCUUCAGUUUCUGCCAUGUAUGGACAAUAAAUCUGCACAAGAAACCUUGAAAGCAACCAAAGAAACAUCCUCUUAUUUGAUUAACGUUGUUAACAAGUACAUAAUUGAGGUUGCCAACAGGGACUUACCACCUACAGCUGGAGUUCUUUAUCUCAAUCAAAAAGGUCCACCGGUGCCUCUCCUUUGCAAUCCUUUCAAUUCUGAUUUGACAGAAAGGGAUUGUACUCAUGCAGAAGUGAACUUUAGCAAUGUGGCUCAGGUAAGUAAACUUAUCCCUUCUCUAAAUUUUGUUCUCCUUCAAGUUUUUGGUAAUUAAAUGGCCUCUGUUUCACAUAGGAAUGGAGAAAAUAUGAGUGUGAAGUUUCGGCAGAAGGUAUUUGCAAUACCACAGGCCGCUUGACCCCCACUGCAUAUGAUCAGAUGACAGCUUCUGUGAAUGUUAGCUACUCAUUGUAUAGCUCUGGGCAAUUCCUUGUUGAGCUCGGAGACUGCAGUUUUGUUCUGAAAACUUUCAGUGCGAUCAGUGAGAAUUACUGCCCAGGCCUUAGGCGGUAUAGUUACAGGACCUAUGUUGGGUUGGUAAUGGUUGCAGCUUCUGUUAUGUGUUCUUCCAUCUUAUGGAUGGUUUAUGCAAGAAAGAGACGACACAGGAAAUAUACCAAGAAGAUUAUAGCUAGAAAUGAUCAAAAUCAUUUCGCAGGAGGAAUAGCCUGAUUUUGAGUCUGCAGUUAAUGUCUUUCCCCCUGGUAUUGUAAUACAUGUAAUCCAGGCACAUCGGAUCUUGGUGCGAAGCAUUAAGGCUGAAACUACAUGUUUACAAUAUUAUGCGAGAAAACUGUUUGAUGAAAUGCGUGUAAGAAACAUGUGGUCGUCUAUAGGAGGGUGAUGACUGGUGAUUAUGCGCAGAGCCAGGAAGUUCAAGACGGAUUACAAAUGUUUCAAAUAGAUGGUAUCACUUCCCCGAAUUGAACAAGAGGGCGUCAUGAAGAUUAAUGUUCUUAAAGCGCUAAGUACAUAGGAGAUGGGUUGGCCAUUU
rnacentral:misc_RNA from 1 species